rnacentral:sRNA from 1 species
UUGCAUGGAGUGGGAAAAAGCCUUCCCAGGGAUGGGAAGGAAUGAAGGGAAAGAGGCUUUCUUCAUCCUAAUUAAGCACUCGUGAAGUGCUUAAUUGGAGAGAGCAAUAUAAUGAGCCAGGGUGAACGUGGCCCAUGAGCCAAGACAGUGAGAGACAAAUGUUCUCCUUACUCAGAUGAUCGACAUGCUGUACUUUGUGGUCAUCAUGCUGGUCGUGCUCAUGAGUUUCGGAGUAGCCCGUCAAGCCAUUCUGCAUCCAGAGGAGAAGCCUUCUUGGAAACUGGCCCGAAACAUCUUCUACAUGCCCUACUGGAUGAUCUAUGGAGAGGUGUUUGCAGACCAGAUAGACCUCUACGCCAUGGAAAUUAAUCCUCCUUGUGGUGAGAACCUAUAUGAUGAGGAGGGCAAGCGGCUUCCUCCCUGUAUCCCCGGUGCCUGGCUCACGCCAGCACUCAUGGCGUGCUAUCUACUGGUCGCCAACAUCCUGCUGGUGAACCUGCUGAUUGCUGUGUUCAACAAUACCUUCUUUGAAGUAAAAUCAAUAUCCAAUCAGGUGUGGAAGUUCCAGCGAUAUCAGCUGAUAAUGACAUUUCAUGACAGACCAGUCCUGCCCCCACCGAUGAUCAUUUUAAGCCACAUCUACAUCAUCAUUAUGCGUCUCAGCGGCCGU